rnacentral:misc_RNA from 1 species
GUUACUUUCUCGCAGUUCCAGCCGGAUCCAAUAGAUGGCAACGUGGAUUGUAGACAAAGAACACACACCACUGUGCGACAACGGACAGAUAUGAAAAUUAGUUGUACCUUUUCACAGCUACGUGGCGAUAGUGUUUCGAGAUCUAUAAAUCGAUCAAAUUUUUAUUUCGAUGAAAGGAAUAUAGGUUGGAUAAAACAGGAAGAAAGGCAAAAAGAAAUGUCUCAUCCAUCCAAGAGUGCUGAAUUAGAACCUGGUUCUGUCAGAGCCAAGACAUGGUAGAGGACACAUCAGUAAAGCUACCUUUUUAAAUACAAUUAAAGUUACUAUCAGCUUAACCCCUUAACCUACGAUUUACAUUCGAGAAUUUUGGGUCGAAAACGUAAACAAGCUCGCGCAGCCUUCGAGCCAUUCGCACGACUUGUGUAGUACGUACUACGGGCUAUGCCCGUAAUAUUUACGUUUGAUCCGAUCAUCUGCUACGGACUAUGCCCGUAAUAUUUACGUUUGGCCCGAUCAUCGUACUACGGGUUAUACCCGUAGUUGUAGGUUAAGAGGUUAAUAAAUGUUUAUUAUGAGAAUUGUAUUUAUUUUAUGAUAAUAAUAAAAAGCGGGCAAAACUUGUAACAUGUCAAUUUAUUACAAACAAAGUCAAUACAUUAUUAUGUACAACUACUCUGACACAUUUAAUAUAUAUGUACAUUAUGUAUAAAUAAUAUGCACACACAUUCAUGACUCACAUUCUUAUAUAUCAUCAAUACGAAAGCUCCUUCUUCUUUUGUUUGAAUAUGUAAAUGUAAACAAUGCUCUCAUUUCUAAAUGAUUGAUAAAAAUAAAAUACAAAGAAAAUAUGUAUUACAUUACAUUUUAAUUAAAGGAUACAUGCACAGCCUAAAACAAGAAGCAAUUCAAUGUAUUCUAUCACCAUGGAAAAUAUUAUAUUUGCUAUGUAAUACCUGGUAAUGUCCACUGGAACUAAAUCCCCUUUAGAACUUUAAGUUACAAAGCUUUGGUCUAAAUCCUCCAUGUAAAUAUUUAGUUUCAGCUUUUACAUAAAAAUAACACCUCUUAUAACAUUUACAUAACUUGCAAUGUAUGCAACAUUACUUAAUAUCUAGCAGCAUGUCCUAUAUGUUUAGAAUAGAUCAUAUUUUAAUAGUAAAGAAUUAAAAGUUAAAAUGAAAAUUAUCAUUUUAUCAAAAAACAUUACAAGAUAUAUACUAUUGUAAUUUAAUAUAAAAAAAAUUGAAUACCUUUAGAUUAAAAAAACUUAAUAAAAUG